UGUCUGCCAUAAUAGGAGCCAGGGCCUGGCUUUGCUAUUGUGUCUGUUGCUGUAUGUUGUUUAUCUCAGCAGCGGGCUGAAUUUGGAUCUAGAGCACACAGCUGAUGGAUAGUGAGUGAAUGAGUGUGUCUCUUUGAAUACUCAGUCAGGAGUGAUUUACAGCAUUGGAUUUAUUUCUAGCUCUUCAGCAUCUGUGGUAGCAACAAGAGGCCCCAAAAUAACAGGACCAGAAAAAGACCCAGAGAGGGGGCCAGGAAGUGAGUUCAGAGUUUCUCAAGAGUCCGUCUGCAGCUGCUGCCUCACUCCAUCCCUCCACCAAGAUCUUCACAUAAGACUACUUCAAAGCACAAUGGAAGGCACCAGAACUUCUCUUUGGCUGUUUCUACUGCUCAGCCAGCUGCCAUUCUGUCCUACUGAAGCAGACCAAGACCUUUCGACCAUGCAGCCGUAUUCGCAAAAAACAGAAGAAAAUCAAGGUGGCAGCUCAACCCCUGCUGUGGAGCCCAACCUCAUUACCAUUGGUCACACAAACCCACCUGACACAGUCACAAAUGGCACUCGUGCCGACUGCUUGAUCGACACUGAGAUGGGUCUGAUCGCUAUAGGUUCAGCAGGGGGGCUGAUUGUCUGCCUCCUAGUUGCCAC